rnacentral:lncRNA from 1 species
UUUUUUUUUUUUUUUUGCUUUUUUGUUGUUGUUGUUGCUAUUUCUUGGGCUGCUCCCGCGGCAUAUGGAGGUUCCCAGAAAAGGCAAAAAGACAAAAAAAACCCCAACAACAACAAACCAAAAUCCAUGUUCUUUUGUUCCAUACUGCUCCUCUUCCAAGAAUACCUUCACAUCCCCAACUUGUCCACCUAGCACACGCCUCAUUUUCAAGUUUCAUCCCAAACUUUAUGUUCCAACUGCUCUAUUCCUUCCUUCCUUAAUGCUUGGUCCACUGUGCCUUGCAGAUAUUUCUAAUGAGGUACUUAAUAUUCUGAGCCGUGUGUUUAUUGGCAUGUCUGUUUCCCCCAGUUUUAAAGUGCCUAAGAACAGGGCCUAUAUCUUGUGAGUAUAUGCUCUGUGCCCAGCAGACCCUCACGUAUGCAGUAAAGCAGUAGACAUCAACAAAUACAGUAUAGUAUUCUCACCUGAUGAAUGAAGAGCCUUAAGUUUCCCCACCUGUAGAUGAUGCUGAACUACAAUAAGCUUGAGGGUAAGAAGUCUCUUGCUCAACAUUUCCACAACAGAAUGCAUGAUCACCCCUCAAAAUUGCUCCUACUAGUCAAAUUGAAUUUCUUUCAGAUUUACAAAUGUGCUGGCUUUGCUUUCUCUCUCCUUCAGGCUUUCACAUAUCCUAUUCCCUCUGCCAGAAAUACUAUUCCUCUUCUCUUCAUGUGGCCUAUUUCUAUGAGUUACUCUUCCAGGCAAGUUUUCAUGACUCCCUUAGGCUGGUCUAGAAGCUUCAGCUCUAUCCCCACAACACAUGUUCCCCCUCCUUUCAGGGCACUUAUCACGCUGAUGUAAUGGCCUGUUUUUUGUCUCCCUACCAGAAUGCAAGCUCUAAGGAGUCAAGACCACAUCCUGUUCCCAGUGUAAGAUUAUUACUGCUGAAUAAAUCAAUGUUUACUUACAGAUUUACCUACUUAAAACUGAUAGAAAUAACAGUUAAAGAAAUAUCUUUAGACAAUUACUUCAACCUACCUUUAGAAAAAGGAAAAUUCAGGCAUAAGAAAACAUCCUACUUUAAAGUUAAAAAUUCUUUAGUACAAAUGGGAUGACAUGGAGGGCGAAAGCAUUUUUGAAGGUACUACCACCUACCGGUGAUACAGUAGUACUGCACAGAUGUAUUACAGACGAAGCAUAAAGAAGAGCUGCCAGUAACAGAGCUCACAUAUUCGGUUUUAGGACAGCAGUACUGAGGCCAAAUGAGGCACUGAGGAAACUGCACGUUAUAAAGUCAAUAGGAAAAACUGCAUUUUAAUAAAACUGCAAUUUCUGUUGGUAACGAAACUCUCGGGAUAAAACGCGUUUUGCGAACAUAAGCAAACAGUGUACAUACUCUCAUCACAGGCCAGUCUGACAAAGACGCUUGCCAAAUCUAUGCAGAAAAAGCCUCAGAAACGUAAAGGUUCCCAAUGACUAAGAGCCCACUGUGCCUCAAAAGUUGACAAAACAACGGUCAUUAACACCUGCAGUAAUUGUGAAGAGAUCAAGCGACACGCUUCACAGCGCAGCUGACGCUAUGGUAUAUACCACGCUUAGUUUUGUGAUACAGGAGGAAAAUCAAAGAGAUCGUUUCCUAAAUUUAGUCAACUCUCCAGAAGUAAAAAGACGAGCCUCUGUCACUCCACACACUCCUUCCUUGGUUGUCGGCUGCACCUUUCCAUACUGUUUCGUGUGUUGUGAUUAUUCUACUGCCUCCCCAAUCGAGUGGAAGCUCCCAGAUGGUUAGGGAUGGUUCUGCCGGCCCGGGCCCCCACCCCGAGGACGCCGGCAGAGAUGACCGGUCUUGAGCUGCGCUCGGCGGACGACUGGCGGAGGCCAAGGCCACGCCGCCCUCCCCCUGGCUUCCCGCCCCAACCCCAAGACCUUCGACGGAGGGCGCUCGCCUUGGGCCGCGGACGGGCGGCUUCAGAGGCGAAAGCCACCCC